GAUGAACGCUGACAGAAUGCUUAACACAUGCAAGUCGAUUCAACUUACCUUCGGGUAUUGAGGAUGGCGGACGGGUGAGUAACGCGUAAGGAACUUGCCUCUUGGUCUGGGACAACUGUUGGAAACGACAGCUAAUACCGGAUAUUAUGAGAUUCUCGCAUGGGAAACUUAUGAAAGCUAUAUGCGCCAAGAGAGAGCCUUGCGUUCCAUUAGCUAGUUGGUGGGGUAACGGCCCACCAAGGCGACGAUGGAUAGCCGGCCUGAGAGGGUGAACGGCCACAAGGGGACUGAGACACGGCCCUUACUCCUACGGGAGGCAGCAGUGGGGAAUAUUGGACAAUGGGCCACAAGCCUGAUCCAGCAAUUCUGUGUGCACGAUGAAGGUCUUCGGAUUGUAAAGUGCUUUCAGUUGGGAAGAAGAAAGUGACGGUACCAACAGAAGAAGCGACGGCUAAAUACGUGCCAGCAGCCGCGGUAAUACGUAUGUCGCAAGCGUUAUCCGGAUUUAUUGGGCGUAAAGCGCGUCUAGGCGGAAAAAUAAGUCUGAUGUUAAAAUGCGGGGCUCAACUCCGUAUUGCGUUGGAAACUGUUUUUCUAGAGUACUGGAGAGGUGGGCGGAACUACAAGUGUAGAGGUGAAAUUCGUAGAUAUUUGUAGGAAUGCCGAUGGAGAAGUCAGCUCACUGGACAGANACUGACGCUAAAGCGCGAAAGC
rnacentral:rRNA from 1 species